CCUACGGGAGGCAGCAGUGAGGAAUAUUGGUCAAUGGACGAGAGUCUGAACCAGCCAAGUAGCGUGAAGGACGACUGCCCUAUGGGUUGUAAACUUCUUUUAUAUGGGAAUAAAAUGUUCCACGUGUGGGAUUUUGUAUGUACCAGAUGAAUAAGGAUCGGCUAACUCCGUGCCAGCAGCCGCGGUAAUACGGAGGAUCCGAGCGUUAUCCAGAUUUAUUGGGUUUAAAGGGUGCGUAGGUGGAUUGUUAAGUCAGUUGUGAAAGUUUGGGGCUCAACCGUAGAAUUGCCGUUGAAACUGGCAGUCUUGAGUACAGUAGAGGUGGGCGGAAUUCGUGGUGUAGCGGUGAAAUGCUUAGAUAUCACGCAGAACUCCGAUUGCGAAGGCAGUUCACUGGACUGCAACUGACACUGAGGCACGAAAGUGUGGGUAUCGAACAGGAUUAGAUACCCUUGUAGUC
rnacentral:rRNA from 1 species